rnacentral:misc_RNA from 1 species
GAUGAAGUAAAAUCAGUAGUGAAAGUAGGCCUUAGCAAAGUCUUUUCUUCAUUUGAAAAGCAGCUGUCCUCCCUGCUUUUGGAAUCUGACCUCAUAUCUGAGACAGCAGAAGCCAAAAUAUUACAGAGUGUAGCUGAUCUUCAGUGGAUGUGUAACAUACUUCCCAAGUUGGAUUUAAUGAAGGAUUUUGUUAUAAACUGGGCUGACAUCUCUGGCAAAGUUUUGGGGAUAAUUGAAGACAAGAAACUUGAUUAUGUAAUGUGGGGUUUGAAAUUAAAGAUGAUUGAAGUGACUGCAAAGGUAUUGGAAGCAGUUGGCUAUGGAAAUGUGAUUCUUGCGCCAACUUACAGGGUGCAGCUACUAAGUAUGUGGCUGCCUUAUAUAAGGAAGA